AUACCGGCUGCUCGAGUGAUGGCCACUAUUACUGGGUUUAAAGCGUCCGUAGCUUGACUGUUAGGUCUCUUGGGAAAUCUUUUGGCUUAACCAAAAGGCGUCUAAGAGAUACCGGCAUUCUUGGAACUGGGAGAGGUAAGCCGUACUUCGGGGGUAGGAGUGAAAUCUUGUAAUCCUCGAGGGACGACCUAUGGCGAAGGCAGCUUACCAGAACAGCUUCGACAGUGAGGGACGAAAGCUGGGGGAGCAAACGGGAUUAGAUACCCCGGUAGUCCCAGCCGUAAACAAUGUGCGUUAGGUGUGUCGGUUACCACGCGUAACUGAUGCGCCGAAGAGAAAUCGUGAAACGCACCACCUGGGAAGUACGGUCGCAAGGCUGAAACUUAAAGGAAUGGGCGGGG
rnacentral:rRNA from 1 species